GGGUGUGUAGCUUAGAUGGUAGAGCAACGGGCCUUUAACCCGUAGGCCGAGGGUUCAAGUCCCUCUACACUCA
rnacentral:tRNA from 1 species